CUGAACUUGAUAUAGCAUGAACACUUUUCUUAUAAUGUUUUCAAACAAUUUUCAACUUAUUACACGUGAAUGAGGGAAAAAAUGGCUCAAAUUCCAUAUAUGUUUUAUACUUUUAUUAUCAUUUUUUCUGUAUUUUUUGUCACAACCAAAAGUGAUUCUAUUCUAUGCACAACACACGCUCAAUGUCCGGGAGAUAUGUGUGAACUUCCUCAAUUUGUGUGGAACGAAUAUGUGAUAGAUUGAGUCUUGGAGCAAAAGAAAGAGGAUUAGGAGCUGAUUCGGGUGAAAAAUACGAAGAUUGAAGACAAAAAUAUAUCCUCACCAAGUCAGAAGCUUGGCACGGCCAGUGCCACCUCCCAGGGCCUCUUUUGCUACUUUUGCUUCAUGAUCAAGCUGCCUGUUUUGACCGAAAAGUCUGUGGUUUCUUGUGGAACAUUCUAGUGAAUAGUUGCUUAGGUUUUAAGUCGACAAUAAGACUAUAAAUAGAGUAGCUAGCUAUCAUAACAAUUCAUCUUUUGUUCUUCGAAUUCAAUAA